CCACUUUGAAACAUUCUUAAUGGUGUUGUAUGAUUUCUAUCUCACUCCUCAAAGUGGAAAUCGCGGCUUUGCUUUUCGCGACAGAAUUAGGCGGAAUGAUUGCACAUUUUUGGGGGCUCACUGUAUACGUACGUAUAUAUUUACGUAGCGGUACAUACAAUUCUAUGUAUCGUUAUGUAAAACAAUUUGAAUGAUUGUGUGUAGAGCGAAUGACUUGGUAUGAGAUGUCAGCGGACUCAUCACUGUCGCUUCACCUGUGUUUGAAGUGAUGCAAUUUCGGCGGCGCUCUCAGGAUCUAACACUAUGAUACGCGCUGUCACGACAAUUUUCCAGAAUUUUUUCAACAGUAGUAGUAGUAGGAGAUAGUUCCUUCGAUAUCCGUUUCCGCAAUUUGGCAACAGAUGGCGUUAGUUGUACAACCAUAAUAUUUCUCAACCGUUUCCGAUAGUACUAGUCUUUUCUAUAUCCUUUUCCGGUAUUUGCCAAUAGAUGGCGUUACUCGUACUGGCAUAACAAUACCGCUAAAGCUUAUUAACAUUUAUGUACUGUUCACCAUUUACUUGCGCCGUUUCCUCGCAAAGUUCAAUAAAACGGUUCGUUAAAUGAACAUUCACUGGUUUUAAACGAGGAUCAAUAAAAGUUUAUUAUAUUAAAACUCUUUUUUUGGACUUUUUAUGAACUGGUGUAACAAGUCGUUUAAGCAAAGUCUUAUAUUUUCUUCUUAUAUUCUGUUUUUAUAUUAUAGAGAUAUUGUGUAGAUUUAAAGAGAUAGUUGAUGUAGAUUGUUAUAUUAUAAUCUUAUAUUCUGUGAGUAUAUCAUAAUAAUAUGUGAAGUUGAUUAAUUUGGAACUUUAAUCAAAUGAGAUGAAAUUAAAGAAAACCAAUUAAGGAAUGAGAUAAAGUCUCAAUAAAAUGACGGUUAUUUACAGACACUUUUUGGUGAACUUUUUGGAAGAGCCUGAGGGGCUGCAUCCAGCGUGUUUGUUUUGAUUUUUCACGUUUGUAAACUUUCACAGGUGCUACAGUUACAAACGGAUUAAUAAAUCGCCGUUAUUACACAUUUAAACACGAAGAAACACUAAGUUAAUAAAAUAAAACAAAACAUUCACAUUGCUUUCCUACACGCGUUUCCGUCAAGAAGUAAAAAAAAACAUAAUUUGGUUAAAAAGAAAAAUGCGCGAAGGAAUUUAAUCAAAACUUUUGCAGCAAUAUAUUAUACGAAAUAUGCUAUUUUAUUAAAUUUAAAUCUAUAAUACCUUGAAAUACGUUAUAAAAUGCUUUGUGGUUGAGCAUUAGUGUACAGCGUACGCACACUGUUUAACUAGGGGUCCCGCAGUAGUCGAAAUUCGACUAUAAUCAAUUGUAAUUAUAAGCUUGAACAUUAUUAAGGUUCUAUUUUCAAAGAUUAUUAUACUUCUUUAUUCACAGAUUUCGCCAAGACCACACUAUAGACAAUUAAUAUUAAAGAUAAACAAUAUUAAUCUAUUCUCAAUUUGACCACAGAAUUUAAACAAUGACAAAAGUUUCCCAAUUGACAGUAAACAAGGAGUAAUUUUUUAUAUAUGUGUUGUGUCAAAUACAUGGUAGUGUGUGUAAUGUUUUUUUUAUUGACUUAAAGUAUUUUUUAUGCAUUAUUUUAAAAAAAAUUAGCAAUUUGCACUUCUUCUCUAUAUUCUCCAUAAGUGUCAGAAAUUUCAUACUCCUCCGUCCGCGCAAUUUUCGUAAAAAGGGGUACAAAGUUUUUGCUUCAUGUAUUAAUAUAUAGAUUCCCAUUAACUUUUUAUCUACAUAAAUAUUCGGAAUUUAUUCGAGUUUACUCGCAAAACGUCCUCUCAGGAGACCUAUAGAUUUACGAGUUACACAUUCGAACCCUACACUCGUCCUCCUGAAUUUUCAUGAUAUUUUUAUUACCUUCGAAGGUAUGGUCAAUGUAACCCCACUGACCAUAACGCAGCUGUGAUCUAUCGUAUCAGCAAACUCAAAAACAAAUAGCGGGUAGUUAUCAUAAAAUACAAGGCAUUUGUAACUGAUGCCUGAAUUUCGCUAAUUACGUUUUCAAGAUAAACUGACGUAUAUACAAGUUCCGAACAAAAACAUUCUGAGCGUCGAUCUACCGAGCAACUUCGCCCGCUUGGAAUAUCUUUCCUCUGUCGUUACCUCUAGGAACACAUUGCAGUGGAGAUGCAGGUGAUUCUCAAUAUUUAUUAAGCCUACCUAAAAAUCUAAACUUAUGUAAUACCUGUUCGGGUAAUACGUAACUAGUACAAAUAUGAUUUGGGGCCUCCUGCUCCAAAGGCCGGAAGAAUUUCGGAGGGAACAGAUAAUUAGCGAGGACAUAUGAAGUCAUUGUGGCCUAAAGGAUAAGACGUCCGGUUCAUUCGUAUCUAACAAUGCACCACUGCUCGACCCUGCUAACAAGUACCAAUUUUUCUAAUGAAAUACGUACUUAACAAAUGUUUACAGGAAUAACAUCGUGUACUAAAAAUCAAACCCGCCAAAUUAUAAUUUGCGUAAUUACUGGUGGUAGGUCGUCUUGUGAGUCCGCACGGGUAGGUACCACCAGCCCGCCUAUUUCUGCCGUGAAGCAGUAAUGCGUUUCGGUUCGAAGGGUGGGGCAGCCGUUGUAUCUAUACUGAGACCUUAGAACUCAUGUCUCAAGGUAGGUGGCGGCAUUUACGUUACAGAUGUCUAUGGACUCCGGUAACCUUAACAUCAGGUGAGCCGCGAGUUCGUCCAUCGAUAAAAGGAAUAAAAAAAAAAUUGAUGCUGCAUGUGAGAUAAGAGGAUAUACUAACUAUAGUUGUAGAUGACUGGGAUGUAUAUCCAAAUCAAUGAUUUCAUUGUCAAAAGACGUCGCUGAAAAACAUUAAGUCUGAAAUGAAAUGCUAUAGAUAACUCUGUAUACGUAACGAACAGAAAGGGCUCCAACACUUGACCUUUUAAGUUCUUUUGAACCUCAAUUAUCCGCGAACCGCUAUUUAUAUCGUGCGGCUACAGAAAGGCAAAAGGAUUUUAUCAAAAGCCACGGUUCGCUCAAUUUUCCUGAGAAAUAUUUCAUAAAAUAAAUUCAUUUAUGGAGUGGAGUGUAAAUUGACCAUUGAAUUGUCUGAUAUUUACAUUUUUUGACUGGAUGCGACUUUUUUAGUAUUGUUACAGACGGUUAUUGGACCUCAUGGCUCAUCCGACCUUAAACCAUUCAUUAACGGAACUUAUAUAUAUCACAUCUUGAACGCCACCUUCAGACAUGCGGUCAAAGUCUCGCUUUGUUUUGUGCAACAGCAUUGUAUAAUCGCUUAUUAAGCUAUUGCAUAGCUUUUAUCGCGGGCCUUGAGCGCGGCGACCGAAUCAUGAAAUUCCGUUACGAAAAAAACCUUACACCCCUCACUCCGCCUACCAUGUAACUCGCGUUCAACACAUUCACACGUUGCGCUUGUGUAGUGUUUGUGAAUAAGCGCGUGGCGUGACGUCACACUGCGUGCGCAUCAUGAAAAGUCUUCCCAUCUCUCUCUCGCGCGGUCUAGCUUAUGAGUGUGAAGGGGACAGUUAAGGUUUUGCUUUUAUUGUCAUUGUCUAAUUAUAAUUGCAUAAGUUGAUAAAAAAUGCUAUGCAAUAGCUUUACCGCGGCAGUUCCCGAGUGCCAUACGUUUUUUUAUAUUAGAAAUCACAAGCACUGCCACUGUUCCCGCGAAGUUUCCGGUAUAUGCAUUAAAAAAGAAGUCAAUAAAAAAACGGAUAAAGCAAGACGACUAGAAAACUCAUUAGCAAAGAAAAUAAAAAAAAAACCUGUGCAAUUCACACGCGCUAGAAGUGAAACCUUCAAGAUAAUGCGACGAAUGUAAAAUUUCGGGAAGAGGCUAAUUGUAGGUUUUAGUGAUGAUCAUGGUGAUACAAAGUUUGAUAUUUAUUGUACAUUUUAUUCGUAUAUUACGAAUAUUACGUACCAAGCAGAGCACAAAGAGAAUCACGAAUAUGAGAAACUCUGUAUAAUGCUUCCUAUCUCAUUUUCUCUCAUGUUAAAUCUUACGAAUUUAUGUGUCUAUCUCUUUUUCGUUUCAUCGACUUUUGAAUCACAACGAUGUUAAAGAAGUUUUCACUUCAGAGAUAUGGCACAUUCCUGUCUUAAAUCAGUAUUAAAAACCAUAAUAUUCAAAUUAAUGUAACAUUUUAAAUGAAACGACACGAUACGUUGUUUCCUGAUAACGCAUCUAUAUAUUAAUACGUAAAGCAAAAACUUUGUAUCCCUUUUUACGAAAAUUGCGCGGACGGAGGAGUAUGAAAUUUUCCACACUUAUAGAGAAUACUAGCUGACCCGGCAAACAUUGUUUUGCCAUAUAUAAGAUUUCUAGGGAAUUUCUAGUGUAGAAAAAAAAACUAACUUAUUGUAAGUGUGUAAGGAUGUGGUAAAUGAGUGAAAGAGGUAUGUAGUGCUGUGAACGAUGAGGAAAUAUAUUAUAAUAAAAAUAACAAAACCUCAUUCAUCCACAUAAUACCUCAUUAUAACAAAAAAAAAAGUCCCAAUAAAAAAAAAUAUCUUAGGGGUGGACAACCCUAAUCACUUAGGGGUAUGAAAAAUAGAUAGUAGCCGAUUCUCAGGCUUACUGUGUGCUUAGUGCGAGUUUUGUAACGUUCUCACUAGCGAGCCAGUUUGCUCAAAUUUGUAUGCAAUUGGAACAGCGCCCCUAGCGGCAAACGUACUCGGUGUUAUUUUGUGAGUGCGAGUUCAUAUUAACGUUGUGAUCUCGUAACCGAGUAAUUUUACCGAAAUUAGUACCAUGAAAAACAUUUGUGCGAGUGCGAGUUACAAAUUGGAUUUUGACAUUUCGAUCGAGUAUUUUUAAAUUAGUAGUUAUAUUUUUUUAACUGUAGAGGUAAAGAUAUCAUACCAUACAGCCCAAUUUUUAUUAAUUUUUUUAAUGCAAAAUGAUAUGGAGUAUAAUGAAAUAAAGCUGAUUAAUUGGAAACAUUGAUGAAUUGACAUGAAAUGAAAUGAAAUGAGAUCAGACGAUAUGGGAUGAAAUAUAAUAUCAGUAAAAUGGUGGUUAUUUAGUGAAAGUUUUUCAGUAGACUUUUUGGCAGAUUCCCAGAAGCUACUUCCAGCGGUUUUGUUUUAUUUUCCCACAUUUAUUACCAAAAUUUGAACCACCUUUAUUACACAUUUAAACCUGAAGAAACACUAAAUAGACAAAACAAGACAAUUCACACAACUUCGCUUUACGUGUUCCCGCCUAAAAGUCUGAAAGUCAGUAUUUCUUCGCUUCACUUUACUUCAGCAAAUUAAAGUUGUCGCAAAAAAUUUGGUAGUGAAACUAACAUAAUUUGUUCUUUUUAUUGAUUUUGUUGUGUUAAGUUGGCAUAAAGGUCUCGUUACCGGGCCAUAAAAUAUACAAAAUAUAUGUUUUUACAAUACAAAUAAAUCAAAAUAUUAGGUAGGCAGGUAAUACCUACUAAAUUAAAUAUAAUGAUGGCAGCACGUAAUUUUUUUGCAUGGAAAAUGCUAUCGAUGGCUGCAGCCCAAGAUGAGCGAAAUUAUAUGACUAGUAUUCGGAUAAAGUAUAGAAAUUCAAAUAAUCCAGUUACAAAUCUUACUGAGACCGAAUUUAGAAGAAUCUAUCGUUUCUCGAAGAAGACGUUUAAGUUCUUAUGCGAAGAACUUAGACAACUAACAAAUUUAAGAUCAUCUCAGCGCGUCAGCUUGGAAGUCAAGGUACUAACUGCCCUAUUUUUCUACGCAACGGGAUCCUACCAGCGGCCAGUGGGAAUUGCAAAAAAUGUGUCCCAAAAAAUGUGUAGUGUGUAUAUUGAACAAGUAACGGAAGCUCUAAUAUAUAAGGAUUUUUUAUGCAAAUAUAUUAAGUUUCCAGACACUUCAACUGCCAGACAAGAAGUUAGUCGCAGGUUUUUUUAUAAACAUCAAAUACCAGGUGUAAUUGGAUGCAUAGACUGUAGUCAUUUCAGAAUAUUUGGGCCACCUAAAAGAGAAGAGCAUCAGUAUUAUUGCCGAAAACACUAUCAUUCUAUUAACGUCUAAAUGGUAUGUGAUGAUGAAUAUAGAAUCCUCAAUGUUAAUUCUAAAUUUGGAGGUGCAAAUCAUGAUUUGAUUUGAUUUGAUUUGAUUUAUGAUUAUGUGAAAUUGUAUCUGUAUUCAUUUUUUUUAAAGGAGACUCUGGCUAUCCGCAACGUCCAUGGCUGAUGACUCCAAUUUUGAAUGCUGCCCCAAAUACACCUCAAAGCAAUUAUAAUCAGAAGCAUAUGAGAGCUAGAGUUGUUAUUGAAAACACAUUUGGAAGACUAAAAAAUCGUUGGCGGUGCCUUAACAAAGACAGGGCUCUUCACUAUAAACCUGUAAAAUGUGCUAGAAUCAUACUAGCCUGUUGUGUUUUGCACAAUAUAGGCAUUAAUUAUGAUACUGUAGACGAUGCAGAUAAUAUAGAUCUAGAAAAUGAUGAUGACCAAGGCCAUGAUGAGAUUAUGAGAGAAACAAGUUCUACAGCCGAUUUAAUAAGAGGCAGGGUACUAAGGGAUCAAUUAGUUAGAAGAUUAUAUCAGCAAUAAUUGUUUUAGAUUAUAAGUUCAUUGAUCCCUAUCUUCAUUUCAUUUAGAUUUUAUUUUUUCUGUUCUUUUAGUUAUAAUUACAAUCUUGUAAAAAUAUUUACUAUAUCUGUCUAUGUUUAGUGUGGAGAUAAAUAAUAUUUAAAAGAAAAAAGCUUAAAUAAAAAUACAAGAAUUAGAAUAGAA